rnacentral:rRNA from 1 species
GACGAACGCUGGCGGCGUGCUUAACACAUGCAAGUCGAACGGAAAGGCCCUGCUUUUGUGGGGUGCUCGAGUGGCGAACGGGUGAGUAACACGUGAGUAACCUGCCCUUGACUUUGGGAUAACUUCAGGAAACUGGGGCUAAUACCGGAUAGGAGCUCCUGCUGCAUGGUGGGGGUUGGAAAGUUUCGGCGGUUGGGGAUGGACUCGCGGCUUAUCAGCUUGUUGGUGGGGUAGUGGCUUACCAAGGCUUUGACGGGUAGCCGGCAUGAGAGGGUUACCGGCCACAUUGGGACUGAGAUACGGCCCAGACUCCUACGGGAGGCAGCAGUGGGGAAUAUUGCACAAUGGGCGGAAGCCUGAUGCAGAAACGCCGCGUGCGGGAUGACGGCCUUCGGGUUGUAAACCGCUUUCGCCUGUGACGAAGCGUGAGUGACGGUAAUGGGUAAAGAAGCACCGGCUAACUACGUG